rnacentral:lncRNA from 1 species
AUGAAGUCAUGUAUGUUGGGUUUCUAUGCAGUUCUGCUGUUGUGCCUUCUGGUCUUGUUCUCAAUUCAAGAUGAUUGUGGUAUUGAAUCAAGCUGUUCAUCAAGUUACCUGGAUGAAAAGAACAAAGAACUGCAGUCAGUAUCAAACCAAACAGCUCAUCAAAAGAACAUCUUGUUCAACAAUGGUAUUACCACAUUUUUAACAUAGAAAUACCAAGUUUCUUAGACAAAUACCAUGGAAACACCAUGAUAGAAAAAAAAAAAAAAAACGUUCUAAAAAAGAUAUUUGAGAUGCAAAUCAGCAUAUACCAUAUUAGAAUAUUUUAAUAAUUUACAAUCGAUAAAAUGAUUACCAAGCUAAUACCAUCUAGUACCAUCAUUGUACAAUGCUACAGCACUCUUUUAUGAUCACUCUUUAGGAGAUUAAUAGGAGAUUAAUUUUUAUUUUUUUAUGAUGAAGAAAAUGGAUAGCAGAAGGUUUUGAGGACCUACCUCAACAUGAGCCCUUCAGCCCACCAGAAAGCUUAGUAAUUAGAAGUGAGCAACAGAACAAGAUGAAGUUCUCUAUUCUCUAUUGAGAAACUCUAUUUUAGGGUUGGGAGUCGUAAGAAAUUUUCCAUUUCCAGUUUCGGUUCCCGUUCCUGUUUCAAUUUCGGUUCCAUUAAAAUCAUUAAACAAUUAUAAAAAAAUUGUGGCAAUAAAAAAUUCACAAUACUCAACUAUUCAAUGCCCAAUACUGUUAUUACUUACUGUCAUCUUAAUUUAAAGGUUGGAAAUGUCAAAAUGCAAUAUAUAGUAUAUUACAGUUUAAAGAUCUUCAUAAGUAGGAUUGGGUAUUGUUAGAAAUUUUCUGGUUCUGGUUCCAUUUAAAUGAACUACUAUUAUGUUUUUUACUUUUUUAACUUCAUUGAAUGUGUUGCUGGAAGGUAUUAAAGGGUUAGUUCACCCAAAAAUGAAAAUUAUAUAAUUAAUGAAAAGGUAAUAAAAAAUCAUCAAAGUAGUCCAUGUAUCAUCAGAGGGUCAGUUAGAAUUUGUUGAAGCAUUGUAAAUACAAUUUGGUCAAAAAUAACAAAAACGUCUAAGGUUACGUAUGUAACCCUGGUUGCUCGAAGGAACGAGAUGCUGCAA